rnacentral:rRNA from 1 species
UACAGAGGGGGCAAGCGUUGUUCGGAAUUACUGGGCGUAAAGGGCGCGUAGGUGGCCUUCUAAGUUGAACGUGAAAUCCCUGGGCUCAACCCAGGAACUGCGUCCAAGACUGGGAGGCUUGAAUCCGGGAGAGGGAUGCGGAAUUCCAGGUGUAGCGGUGAAAUUCGUAGAUAUUGGGAAGAACACCGGUGGCGAAGGCGGCGACCUGGUCCUUUUACUGACGCUGAGGCGCGAAAGCGUGGGGAGCAAACAGG